rnacentral:lncRNA from 1 species
CUCUUCCAUCUGCUUCACCUCCGAGGAGGUGUCCUUGACAUCUCCCAGCUUCGACCUGAUGGCGGCGUCCCGCUCGUCCAUGAACUUACCCAGAGGCGUGAAGUAGAUCUUGUCCAGAGCCACCAUCAGCAAGAGGAACUCGGCGGCGAUGGCGGGCAGGGUCAGAUUGAAGUCGAACAGCGCCGCCUUCUCAAUCUCCGCGGCGAGGGCGGGGAGAGGGGAGGCUCCCCAAGACGCCGCCACCAGACCCGCCGCCAGGGCGGCCGCCUUGCCCCCGUGCUGGCGCUGGAGGGAGAUCACGGCGAGCUUCAGCUGCUGAAAUCUGCUGGGUGAAACCUGCUGCGGCUGCUUGGACGCCGAGGCGACGGCAGGCAGCAGGAUCCUCGAUGGGGUCCUGCAGGAAGCCAUGACUGCGCUCGCCAUGGAUCUGGCCCUCUCUAGCUUGACUCCUCUGCUCUCUCUUUCUCUCUCUUCCCCUUCUCUGGUUUUUCUGGGUCUGUGGAAGAAGGGGGGAGGGGGAUAUCUGGUGAGGGGUGUGGUAGGGGAAAGAAGGGGAAUCACACGGUACCCUAUCCGAUCUCUCGGCCACACAAAAGCGAACCUUUCG